GAAGAGGAUGUUGGACAAGUUCUUGCUCUCAUAUAUGUUGCAAAGUGUCUUCCAUGCUUCCGCUGGUCCUUUGCAAUGGAUAAUGUGAGAAAAGUUGGCUUCAUCCAAAUUGGUGGCAAUCAUACCAAAAGCCUUCUUUUCACGUCUUUUGAAGUCCUUGUGGUCCUUAGGGCUUGCAUCUAUGCUUGGAAGAUCUUCACUCUCAUCUACAAUAUCCCAAAGGUCCAAAGAUGC
rnacentral:lncRNA from 1 species